UAAUCCGACCUAGGCUCAUCCAUCGACGCGAGGUCUUGCGAUCCCCCGCUUUCCCCCGAAGGGCGUAUGCGGUAUUAGCCAAUCUUUCGACUGGUUAUUCCCCAUCAUUGGGCAGAUUCCGAAGCAUUGCUCACCCGUUCGCCGCUCGUCAGCACGUAUUGCUACGCCUGUUACAGCUCGACUUGCAUGUGUUAAGCACGCCGCCAGCGUUCAAUCUGAGCCAGGAUCAAACUCU
rnacentral:rRNA from 1 species